GAAAAUUUGCUCUUUUAGUAUUUAUCCAGUAGGUUUCCUAAAGGAAAAAGCCCCC
rnacentral:snRNA from 1 species